UUGCGGUUAAAAAGCUCGUAGUUGGAUCUCGGCAAGUAGAGGGCGGUAUGCUUCGUAGCAUUACUGCCCUAUUACUUGUAGUUUUGCCAGAGGUUCCUGGGUGCUCUUAAUCGAGUGUCUAGGGAUGCUGGCAGGUUUACUUUGAAAAAAUUAGAGUGCUCAAAGCAGGCUAUUACGCUUGAAUAUUCGUGCAUGGAAUAAUAGAAUAGGAAGUUGUUUCUAUUUUGUUGGUUUUCGGAAAUCGACUUAAUGAUUAAUAGGGACAGUCGGGGGCAUUUGUAUUCAAACGACAGAGGUGAAAUUCUUGGACCGUUUGAAGACAAACUACUGCGAAAGCAUUUGCCAAGAAUGUUUUCAUUAAUCAAGAACGAAAGUUAGAGGUUCGAAGGCGAUUAGAUACCGCCCUAGUUCUAACCAUAAACGAUGCCAGCUAGCGAUCUGAGGACGUUUUUUUUGUAGACUCCUCAGGAAGCUUCCGGGAAACCAAAGCGUGUGGGUUCCGGGGGAAGUAUGGUUGCAAAGCUGAAACCUUAAAAGGAAUUGACGGAA
rnacentral:rRNA from 1 species